UACGUAGGGUGCGAGCGUUGUCCGGAAUUAUUGGGCGUAAAGAGCUUGUAGGCGGUUUGUCGCGUCUGCCGUGAAAGUCCGGGGCUCAACUCCGGAUCUGCGGUGGGUACGGGCAGACUAGAGUGAUGUAGGGGGAGACUGGAAUUCCUGGUGUAGCGGUGAAAUGCGCAGAUAUCAGGAGGAACACCGGUGGCGAAGGCGGAUCUCUGGGCCAUUACUGACGCUGAGGAGCGAAAGCGUGGGGAGCGAACAGG
rnacentral:rRNA from 1 species